rnacentral:ncRNA from 1 species
CCCUAAAAACAUAAAGUUUUGGUCCUAAACUUGCCAUUGUUUUUAAUAAAAAUUACACAUGCAAGCCUCAACAUACCAGUGAGAAUGCCCAUAAAUUCCCAAACAGAACGCAGGAGCAGGCAUCAGGAACACCAAUGUUAGCCCACAACGCCUUGCUACGCCACACCCACAAGGGUCUUCAGCAGUGAAAAGUAUUAAAAAAUAAGCGAAAGCUUGAUUUAGUUAUUAUUAAUAUGGUCGGUAAAUUUCGUGCCAGCCACCGCGGUUAUACGAAAGACCAAAAACAAUGGCCCACGGCGUAAAGAGUGAUAAGAGUAAAUACCAAAUUUAAAGGAGAACUGCAACAAAGUUGUAAAAUACUACCGAUUGCAAGAACCACAACAACAAAACGCCUUUAACCACUUGCCUCACGAAAACUAAGAAACAAACUGGGAUUAGAUACCCCACUAUGCUUAGCCGUAAACAAAAACAGUACAAACACAAUACUGUUCGCCAGAGAACUACAAGCAAAAACUCAAAACUCCAAGGACUUGGCGGUGCUCCACAUCACCCUAGAGGAGCCUGUCCUAUAAUCGAUACCCCCCGAUCUACCUUACCAUUUUUUGAAGCUCAGCCUAUAUACCGCCGUCGUCAGCCUACCUUAUGAAAGAAACAAAGUAAGCAAAAUAGUCAAUGACUAAAACGUCAGGUCAAGGUGUAGCACAUAAAAUGGAAGAGAUGGGCUACACUCUCUCACCCAGAGAACACGAACAGCACAAUGAAAUAAUGCUCAAAGGUGGAUUUAGUAGUAAGAUAGACAAGAAAACCUAUCUUAAACCAGCCCUGGAGCGCGCACACACCGCCCGUCACCCUCAUCG